GAGCUAGCGUUGUUCGGAAUUACUGGGCGUAAAGCGCACGUAGGCGGCUUAGCAAGUCGGAAGUGAAAUCCCUCGGCUCAACCAAGGAAGUGCUUUCGAAACUGCUGAGCUUGAGUACGAAAGAGGAUCGCGGAAUUCCCGGUGUAGAGGUGAAAUUCGUAGAUAUCGGGAGGAACACCAGUGGCGAAGGCGGCGAUCUGGGUCGAUACUGACGCUGAGGUGCGAAAGCGUGGGGAGCAAACAGG
rnacentral:rRNA from 1 species